AUGAUCUUUUGGUGGAAAUCCUCUCUCGGGUGCCCUUCAGGUCUUUCUGCCGUUUCAAAUGUGUCUGCCAGGCUUGGCUUGCCUUCGCCUCUGAUCCACACUACCAACGAAAACUGCCGAAAAUUCCCACUGGUCUUUUUCACGGACGCGAAGAUUCGUCUGUUGCCCAACUUGUUAGAGGAAAUUAAUGGAGCUCUUACAUUCUUGCCGGGCCAUGAGCACUUAGAAUUUGUGGACUGUUGCAAUGGCCUAGUUCUUUGUAACUACAAGAGCAGUUAUACUUAUCCAGAAGCUUGCCGCUUCAUUGUGUGUAACCCCGCAACACAGGAGUGGAGGUCACUUCCUGAUAUUCACCUUGGCCUAGAUGACUUCGCCUGUGAUGCUUUUUUGGCCUUCGAUCCAUCAUGGUCAGCGCAGUUCCAUGUAUUUAAGUUUGAUGGUUUUUGGGCACUCGAUACGAGUAAAUUUGAGGUGUUCUCGUCUGACCUAUCCACAUGGAUUGUGGAUGCUGCAUGGAGUCCUUUUAUAGACAGUUGUAGUCAACACCGCUUUAUAGGAGGAGUGUUGUACAUGCACACAGGUAGGGAUGAAAUUCUGGGGUUGGAGGUAAUGGGUUCUGGCAAACCACCCCGUCAUUUUACUAUGAAGUUGCCGCAUGGCCAUUCGGAUCUCGUAUCUGGUUGUUUUGGUCAAUCAUCAGGGUUCUUGCAGUGUGCACUUCCAGAGGAGAGUGGUCAUACAGUUGCAGUUUUCAAUCUUGAUACUUGUGAUUCCUACAAAUGGUCUUUGAAGUAUCGUCUUAGUAUGGGCAAUCCAUUUGGAAGGGGCGAGUUGCUUCAUGGUGGUGCCAAGGGUUGGUUCCAUUGGUGUGAUUAUCAGAUUGUCGCUCUUGAUUCGGAAAGAAAGGCUCUCUUCCUUGUUGACAAGCUUCAAAUGAAGCUUUUUUCGUACAACAUCAUCACUGGGAAACUUAGCCAGAUCAAAGAUGGUUGUCGUACGGACUACCUUUAUUACGUGGCAUGCUACUCAAAACUUCCA
rnacentral:rRNA from 1 species